CUAAACUAGGAUUAGAUACCCUAUUAUUAUAAAUGUAAAUUUUUAACUAAAUUAGUAUUAGUUAUGUUCUUGAAAUUUAAAGAAUUUGGCGGUAUUUUAGUCUUUUCAGAGGAACCUGUCCUAUAAUUGAUAAUCCACGAUUAAAUAUACCUAUUAUUAGUUUAUAUAUCGUCGUAGUUUGAGAAUUUUAAAAGAAUAAUAAUUUUCAGGAUUUAUAAUUUUAAAAUAAAUCAGAUCAAGGUGUAGCGUAUUAAUAGGAAGAGAUGGGUUACAAUAAAUUUAUUUAAGCGGAUAAUUUACUUAAAAGUGUUUUUGAAGAUGGAUUUGAAAGUAAUUAUUUUUAUUUAUUUUUAAUGAUUUAAGCUCUAAAAUAUGCACAUAUUGCCCGUCACUUCCACUAUAUGUGGGAUAAGUCGUAACAUAGUAGGUGUACUGGAAAGUGUACCUAGAAUGACAAAUUAGAGCUUAAAAGCAUUUUAUUUACAUUAAAAAGUUAAUUGUUUAUUCAAUUUAAUUUGAAUGAGAAAUUUAUAAAACAAUAUUAAUUAAAGUAUUAGUAAGUUUAAUUAUUAAACAAAGAAAAAAUUUAUUUUAAUUAUAGUUGAUUAGUACAUUAAUGGAAAUUUGAAAGAUUAUGAAAAUUAAAUUUUUUAGAAGAAAAAUUUUAUUUUGUACCUUGUGUAUCAGGGUUUAUUAAUUAAGAAUUAUUAAUUUAAUUUUCUCGAAUAAAAAGGAGUUAAUUUUUUUAUAAAUUUUACUGUAAAAUAAGUAUUUACUAUAGAAGAUUAGAAGUGAAACGUUAUUCGUCUUUUUUUAUAUCUAGUUUCUUAAGAAAUAAAUUUAAUUUAGGUUAUUUUUUGAUAUUUUUAUUUGUAUAAUAUUUUCAAUAUAUAAACUAAUAUUUUGAGGGAUUAGCUUCAAAUUAUAAUUGUUAUAAUUUAUAGAAAUUGUUUACUGUGGUAGGAUUAGAAGUUUUUAUCCAUAAUAGUGUGUUAUUACUAUUUUAAAAAUUUUAAUAUUUUUAUUAUUUUUAACUUUUAUAUUAAGAUAAUUUAUUUAAUAAAUAUAUAUAUAUAAUAAUGAUAAAAUUAGUAUAAUUUUAUGUAAUAUAAAUUUUAUAUGUUAGGUAAUUUAAAGGAAUUCGGCAAAUUUGCUUUUCGCCUGUUUAUUAAAAACAUGUCUUUUUGAUUAUUAUUUAAAGUCUGGCCUGCCCAAUGAAAAUUGAAUGGCCGCGGUAUUUUGACCGUGCAAAGGUAGCAUAAUAAUUAGCUUUUUAAUUGAAAGCUUGUAUGAAUGGUCUUACGAGAAAGCAACUGUCUCUAAAUUAAUUAAUUAGAACUUUAUUUUUAAGUAAAAAAGCUUAAAUAAAUCUAGAAGACGAGAAGACCCUAUAGAGUUUUACUUUAAUAUUUUUUAUAUUAUUAGGUUAUUUUCAAUUUAAUUAAUAUUUAAAGUUUUGUUGGGGUGACAGUUUAAUUAAAAAAACUUAAAUUUUAAAAUUCACUGAUUUGUGUUUUUUUGAUCCUAUAUUAUAGAUUAAAAGAUUAAAUUACCUUAGGGAUAACAGCGUAAUUUUUCUAGAGAGUUCUUAUCGAAAGAAAAGUUUGCGACCUCGAUGUUGGAUUAAAAUUUAUUUUUGGUGUAGAAGCUAAAGAAUUAAGUCUGUUCGACUUUUAAAAUUUUACAUGAUCUGAGUUCAAAACCGGAGA
rnacentral:rRNA from 1 species